GAUCAUGGCUCAGGAUGAACGCUAGCUACAGGCUUAACACAUGCAAGUCGAGGGGCAGCGGGAUUGAAGCUUGCUUCAAUUGCCGGCGACCGGCGCACGGGUUAGUAACGCGUAUCCAACCUUCCGUACACUCAGGGAUAGCCUUUCGAAAGAAAGAUUAAUACCUGAUGGUAUGAUGAGAUUGCAUGAUAUCAUCAUUAAAGAUUUAUCGGUGUACGAUGGGGAUGCG
rnacentral:rRNA from 1 species